rnacentral:tRNA from 1 species
GCUGGUGUGGCUCAAUGGCAGAGCAGCUGACCUGUAAUCAGCAGGUUGAUGGUUCGACUCCGUUCACCAGCUCCA